AGUAACGCGUGGGCAACCUGCCUUGCACUGGGGGAUAACAGCCAGAAAUGGCUGCUAAUACCGCAUAAGACCGAAGCGCCGCAUGGCGCUGCGGCCAAAGCCCCGGCGGUGCAAGAUGGGCCCGCGUCUGAUUAGGUAGUUGGCGGGGUAACGGCCCACCAAGCCGACGAUCAGUAGCCGACCUGAGAGGGUGACCGGCCACAUUGGGACUGAGACACGGCCCAG
rnacentral:rRNA from 1 species